rnacentral:siRNA from 1 species
CAAAAGCAAGGAAGUGGUGGU